GCAGUAGCUCAGUGGUAGAGCUAUCGGCUGUUAACCGAUCGGUCGCAGGUUCGAAUCCUGCCUGC
rnacentral:tRNA from 1 species